rnacentral:SRP_RNA from 1 species
CCGUGCAGCCGGGGCGUUAGCGGUGCCCUGUACCUACAGUCCGCUUUAGUAGGGGUGAUGUUCGAGUGAGGGCUUAUGCCGCCCUAUAUUAUCUUCUGUAAGUAGUAUUGAAGCCGGGUCCUGCGCAACAGAAAUCCGUAAAACGUGUCAGGGCAGGAAUGCAGCAGCACUAGCGGAAGCUUCUGUGUGCCGCAGGAACGCCUGGUGGGGCUUACAGUUAGAAAUAUGGGAACGCAUCUGUUCGAACGAGAACGCACGG